rnacentral:tRNA from 1 species
ACCGAAGUGGUGGAAUUGGUAGACACGCACGUUUCAGGUGCGUGAGCCGCAAGGCGUGAGGGUUCGAGUCCCUCCUUCGGUA